UCGAAUCCAUGGAUGACAGCUUCCUGCAAGCCCGAUAGGUGUCGUCGGCUUCGUUGAGCACCACUCAUAAGAACCAGGACCAUCCCCGAAGCUUCACUGGUGGCAGCGACGGCGCAGCAAACACUGCCUCAAGUAUUUUUCUCUGAAUGUGCAGGCAGUCUCCCUGGCGUCUGACAUCUUACAAGCGCAACAUGACAGAAAGCAGUGCGUUCUGUGGACGUGCUCGACAUGCAGACCCAUCGGGUCAUGCGUUUAGGUGUUAUAUGAAACACAUACAAACUUUCCCUACUGCCGCGGGAGGACGCAAGAUCACAGCAGUUCAAUAUUCGUAGGGUGAAAUGGAUGAACGGUACAGUAAGUAUGAACUGUGCAUGAUAAUUAGAACCGUAGAAGGGAAUUACCUAUACCAGUUCUCCAGUUUUACACGCGUAUUUCACAAACUUAGUUUGCCUAAUAUCCGGAAGGGAGUCUACAUACUACUAAAGUGUUCGUAUUGUACUGCGAUUUUAAGGGAAAGAAUAUGUAUUUUAUUGUAUGAUGCAUGGCCAAAUUUUAAGAGUGUGAAUUAGAGCGUACUUAUACGUUUUGGAACAAAUUCCUUAAGCAACUGUACUAGUAAGAUAUACGAUCGUUAUGGGAAAUGUUUAUCAAAGUCCCAGGGUCACUGAGUUCAUAUUUAGUUGAACUAAGGACCAUGUUAGAAGUGAUGUGCAGAGAAAGUUUAACGUUUCUGCAUGAAGUACGAAUUCGGUGAAUAAUUACUUAAUUGUUGUCUGCCUCAUUGCAUGCGUUAUACGACGUUUGUUGCCGGUCUCCGCGGCUUCCUCGGUGGACUAAACCAAAUACCUUGUUCAUAUUUAGUGAACAUAAAUGGAUGAUUACGGGGGAUGUGGAUGCGAAAUUUCAUUUGUGUGGCCUAAUUACUUCAUUUGCAACACGUUGCGUAUAUAAGCACUUUGGAUCAUUACGAGGGUGUUUUGCGAAUGGCGUAGAAGUUAGACAACAACUCUCUGCCAACUAUAACACCCACUUCGAUUAUAUGCAGUGAAAAUGUGGGCUACAAUGUGGAGUAUGCGCUUGCGAUGGUGUGUGUGAGGACUAAGAGUAGCAUCAGGAAAUUCCUAUUGUGAAGCCCUCGAAAGGCUUAGAAAGUCGGUAUUCGCUAUGUUUUUAAAUGUCCUGAUAGAAUUGCGUUUGCAUCAAAUUCAUAUUCGGUGGGAAUAGAAGCCAGUUAGGCGGGCGUGUGUGGGGAAACAUUAAGGUUGUCGAAUUGAUUAUGAAUUUUGUUUAUAAUUACCUAACCGCCGGUUUCAUGCGCUUCCGGUGUCCUCGGUGAACUACAGAAGUAACUUGGAAUAUAUUUCGCGCAACUAGGAGCCAGUAUUGGCGGUGUGCAUCGAAAAAUUCAGCGACGGUGGGUUGAUACACUUUGAUCUUAGCCAAAAGGCCGAGAAGCGAUUGAUACAGUAGUUGCAGUAAAUUACGUAUGUAAUCGCUCCGGAGCGUUAUAAGCGAGUUUUAUGGAGCACGCAAUUACGAAGCACACAAAUUACGGACCUAAUUUGGGCAUGCAAAGUAAAAUGUGUCUUGAUAAAUUAGAACCUUGGAAUUGGGAAUAGUAAAUAUACGGAGUCUCGAGGCGCCUUCACGCAGACACUGUCCACUGUCGUGUGUUCCCGCCAUCGACGACAUCUAAGGGGCGCAUUUUUACAAUUGCUAGUAGGUACAGCGGGGCGUGGCGUUUCUCGCGAUGCUCGACGUUUUUGCGCAGACGCGAGUAAGCGCGGGUGUGAGAGAGAAAAUCUGGGGGCCUUUGUUCCUUCAAUAUUUGACUCUGCCUAGGCACUACGGAGGAGGUUUCUUGGCGCGUGUUGUAUGCGUUUGUCUCCUAGACAUGCCGGCUUUGCAGAGUGCAGUCGAGUUCGUUUACGCUAUGCCGCUGGCUGCCCGUGCGGGGAGGCAGUGGGCACGGACGACCGAUUUGGUGAUCGCUGUGUUUGAAGGGGCAAGGUUCUGACUGGCGUUGUAUAAGUCGCGGGCCCCUAUUUUCAUCGCGAAGAUAGACUGGUUGUUUUACAAGCAGGAGGGCACAUGUAACCGGCAGAGAGGCCUCAGGAGAGCUACUGAGGUCAUAAUAAAGCAGGUGGGGCAGGAUCUCCAGGGCACCCAACUGGUAAUGGGGGGAUCAAAGCUGGAAGCAGGGUGGCCCGUGGGUUGGCGCCGUGGAGGCCGAAGCGUGCCCCAGCUACAAACAGCGAAAACUACAAAUAAAUACAUAUCAUCAAUUAAGUCUCUACCACGCUAUGCACCCUGCGAUGUAUUGCUACAAAUUCCCGCACUGCGAUCAAUGCGCAGCGCUUUACCACAUGAUAUGGGCUUGCGCAAGCGCACCACAGCCCACACGCACACACCCAACCACACGGCAAUGGGAGGCAGCGCUGUCCAGCUCAGACUUGACGCAACAGCUCAACCUGGUCAACCGAGCGAGAAGGGCAGCCAAGGCUGCUGGGCUCCUAGACUGAGGGGAUCACCCACUACAGAGCUACCUAUGCUCAUAUGCUUUUCCUAUAAAGUUUACUCUCUCUCUAGCAAAAAGGGACGCGCAUCAACUCCCACGUAUUGAUGACGGAAUAGGCUGCCUUCUUUUCUCCUCUUACUUUUCCUCAGUAGACUUACAAUCCGGAUACUGGCAGAUCCCGAUGCAACCUGAGGACAAGGAAAACACUGCCGUUGUAACCUGUAACGGGGUCUUCGAAUUUAGCGUGAUGCCAUUGGACUGUGCAAUGCUCCGGAAACUUUCGAGGAAUUUAUGAACACUCUUCUGCGCGGCGUGAAAUGGACAAUCUCUAUGUGCUACCUCGACGAUGUCAUCACCUUUGGCCACACCUUCAGGGAACACAACUCGCGUAUGGACAUUGUCCUGAUCUAGAUCACAAACUCUGGCUUAGUGUUAAACUCAAAAAAUGCCACUUCGGAGACCACCGAAUCCUUGUGCUUGGGCACCUCGUCGAUAAGGACGGCAUCCGCCCUGAUCCCCAGAAUAUAGGAGCCGUUGAAGUGUUUUGUGCACCCCGCUCUGUCAAGGAGCUCCGUAUUUCGGGGGACUUUGUUCCAAUUUCCGCCACUUUAUUCCUAAAUUUGCCGACGUCACGUAUCCACUCACAUGCCUGCUAUGAAAAGACAUCCCCUUUGAGUGGACUUUGCACUGCGACCCUUCGUCAGUUGAGGUUUCUGCUGAAAGUCGCGACCUGCUCUUCAGCACUUCAUUCCUUCGGUUCCAAUGGAAGUCCAUGUGGAUGCGAGUGGUAGAGGUAUUGAUGCCGUCCUAGUUCAAUGAUACCGUGACCACGUACACUUGAUCACAUGUGCCAGUCGCUCAUUAAGUAAGUCCGAGCAGAACUACACUGUCAUAGAACAAGAAUGACUCGCGGUAAUAUAUGUAGUUCAGUGGUUUGGUUCUUACCUGUACAAUGACCCUUGACAGUUGUCGCCGACCACCACUCAUUGUGUUGGCUUAUAAACCUUCACGACCCUUGUGGCCACUAUGGGCGCUAGCGCUCCGCCUCCCUUGACAGUUGUAAGCGACUACCACUCAUUGUGUUGGCUUAUAAACCUUCGCGACCCUUGUGGCCGCUGGACGCUCCGCCUACCUUGACAGUUUUCUCUGACUACCACUCAUUGUGUGGGCCAUUAAACCUUCACGACCCUUGUGGUCGCUUUGGACGCUGCGCGCUCCGCCUAUCUUGACAGGUGUCACCGACUACCACUCAUUGUGUUGGCUUAUAAACCUUCGCGAACCUUGUGGCCGCUGGGCCCUCCGCCUACCUUGACAGUUGUUACCGACCACCACUAAUUGUGUCGGCCUUUAAACCUUCACGACCCUUGUGGCUACAUUGGGCGCUGGGCGCUCCGCCUACCUUGACAGUUGUCACCGAUGUCACCGACCACCACUCACUGUGUUGGCUUAUAAACCUUCACGACCCUUGUGGCCGUUUUGGGCGCUAUGCGCUCCGCCUACCCUGACAGUUGUCUCCGACCACCACUCAUUGUAUUAGCUUAUAAACCUUCGCGACCCUUGUGGCCGCUUUGAGUGCUGGGCGCUCCACCUACCUUGACAUUUGUCACCGACGACCACUCACUGUGCUGGCUUAUAAACCUUCACGACCCCUGUGGCCGCUUUGGGUGCUGGGCGCUCGGCAUACAGGAAUACAGCUUACCCGUCUCUUAUAACAGCGGUCGACAACACGCUUACGCGAACUGCUCGUCGCGUAUGCCACUUAGCCCUACGGAAUGUGACGCCGACGACUUUGAUCACCUUGCGGCUUCUCUGUGGCCGAAUUUUGUAGAUUUGAGCAGGUUCAAAGCCCAACAAACAAAGGACAUCAAAUUAAUAACCGUGUUCAACACUACCACCGCCUCUACGACAGGACACCAUUUUUGAGCACAUGAUGGGAUCUUUUAUAAGAAAUAUUCUAGCAAUAGCUCACGUUUUUUCCUAGUGGUGACGGAGAACCUUCGCAUAGCAGUGAUUCCGAGUUUAUGCACGUCUACACUACGCCUGGCCAUGUAGGUGUGGCGGGGAAAGGUCUUCCGGAUUAAGGAACGCUUUUAUUGGCCUGGAAUGCAACAGUCUGUUGACACGUAUAUGGCCAGAUUCUUGCAGAGUCAGUGCCACAAACGUCCAUCUACUGCUCCAGCUGGUCUCCUGCAGCCGCUACCACUUUCAAGCACGCCUUUAUAACAAGUGGGCAUUAACUUCUUGGACCCUUUUUCAAAAUCAGCCAACGGCAAUCGUUGGAUAAUUGUUCCAGUCGACUACCUAACACGCUACUGCGCGACGCCGGCCGUGCCCUACGCCAUUGCCAUUGAUGUUCCAAUGUUCCUGCUGCAAAAUGUCAUCCUCCAACAUGGUCCACCUCACGUGAUCAUCAAUGAGAGUGAAAGAUAACCCACAGCGGAUCUCGUAGUGGAGCUGCUUCGUUUGUGUGAAUAGCACUUGCGUCGCAUGACACCAUGCCAUCUACAAACGAAUGAGCUUACGGAGUGCACCAACUGAUCAAUUAUAAACGUGAUAUCUAUGUACGUUUCAUUCGACCAGAAGGCGCGGGAUGGCCUAUUGCAUUUUAUCACGUACGCGUUCAGCACCGCCAAGCACGGACAUGCUUUACGCGCGUGUACGUCGGUAUACGAUCGACGCUGUUCUCCCUUUCUUUAGUCGAGAAAAUUCCACUGUCGCCGAGACCCUCUGUCUUCUCACAGAUGCAUAUCUUAUUGCUCGCUAUGCACUUUAGCAUCGCAGAACAGAUCAAACGCACACUACAACAUUCGCCGUCGACCGGUAACCUAUCGCCCUGUGGGUUUGGUGUGGUUGUGGAUUCCUGUAAGGAAAGGCGGGUUAUGCCAAGAUUUUAACCACCUACACUGGUUAAAACGCACGCACACACGCACAAACACAUAUGAUCUAGGCGUAAGGAAACCUAGAGGCGCGACCUUUAUUAAACACAGGAUAAG